CGGGGUCACCGGGAAGGAGCGGGAGCCCCGGAGUGAGCUGGAUGCGGGGGCGCCUGCCCUCGGAGACCCCGUGGCCAGGCUGUGGGGCACCCCCCCGCCCCGCGUGGCGUUCAGUGUACCCAGUCAGGACCCGCUUUCCAAGUUAACGCGUUUCUCGUUCUUGUAGAUUUAGUUGGGCUUGGCCGUGGAGUAAGUUGGGUGGCCCCUCCCACCGCCAUCCUAAAACGGAAGCAGCUCCCCGUGGAGAGCGCAGAUGCUUCCGUUACAAGCCUCCCGGGGUUGGCCGGGCAGGCGGAGAACCUUACUGGACGCGCUGCUUUUUAGUGCCGCGCUCCCGUAGCGAGUGACUGAACCAAGUGAGAGGGAAGAUGUACAAACGGGAGCCUUACACAGGACAGCAGUAGGAAAAAGGAAAUAUGACUUUGAUUCUGCGGAGGUGCUGCAGGGACUGGACUUUUUUGGAAACAAGAAGUCUGUCCCAGGUGAAUGCGGUGAAUCAGGAAGUAAUCAGGAGCUCCAAGAUGAAGAGGAAAAAGAAGAGAGCCUAACUGAAAGGAAGAGGGAGCAGAACAAGAAAAAGAGGAAGAGAAUGACUUCGGAAAUUACUUCAGAAGAAGAAGGUUCUACCAUACAGUGGAUAUCAUCUGUGGAAGCAAAGAUUGAAGAUAAAAAAGUUAAAAAAGAAAAUAAACUAACUUCAGGAAAGUUGGAGCUUAUCAGAAAAGAAAAGAUAAACUUCUUGCGGAAUAAACACAAAAUUCAUAUCCAAGGAACUGAUCUUCCUGACCCAAUUGCUACAUUUCAGCAACUUGAACAGGAAUAUAAAAUCAAUUCUCGACUGCUUCAGAACAUUCUAGAUUCAGGUUUCCAAACACCUACACCAAUCCAAAUGCAAGCCAUUCCAGUUAUGCUGCAUGGUCGAGAACUUCUGGCUUCUGCUCCUACUGGUUCUGGAAAGACUUUAGCUUUUAGCAUUCCCAUUUUAAUGCAACUGAAACAACCCACAAAUAAAGGCUUCAGAGCUCUGAUUAUAUCACCAACACGAGAACUUGCCAGCCAGACUCAUCGAGAGUUAGUAAAAAUAUCUGAGGGAAUGGGAUUCAGAAUACACAUGAUCCACAAAGCAGCAAUUGCAGCCAAGAAAUUUGGAUCAAAAUCAUCUAAGAAAUUUGAUAUUCUUGUAACUACUCCAAAUCGACUAAUCUAUUUAUUAAAACGAGAUCCUCCAGGAAUAGACUUAACAAGUGUUGAAUGGCUGGUAGUAGAUGAAUCAGAUAAACUAUUUGAAGAUGGCAAAACUGGGUUCAGAGACCAGCUGGCUUCUAUUUUCCUGGCCUGCACAUCCCACAAGGUCAGAAGAGCUAUGUUCAGUGCAACUUUUGCAUAUGAUGUUGAGCAGUGGUGCAAACUCAACCUGGACAAUGUCAUUACUGUGUCCAUUGGAGCAAGGAAUUCUGCAGUAGAGACUGUAGAACAAGAACUUCUCUUUGUUGGAUCUGAAACGGGAAAACUUCUAGCCAUGAGAGAACUUAUUAAAAAGGGUUUCAAUCCACCUGUUCUUGUUUUUGUUCAGUCCAUUGAACGGGCUAAAGAACUUUUUCAUGAGCUCAUAUAUGAAGGUAUUAAUGUGGAUGUUAUUCAUGCAGACAGAACACAGGAACAGAGAGAUAACACAGUCCAAAGCUUCCGAGCAGGAAAAAUCUGGGUCCUUAUUUGUACAGCCUUGCUAGCCAGAGGGAUUGAUUUUAAAGGUGUGAACUUGGUGAUCAACUAUGACUUUCCAACAAGCUCAGUGGAAUAUAUCCAUAGGAUAGGUCGAACUGGAAGAGCAGGGCAUAGAGGAAAAGCUGUUACAUUUUUCACUGAAGAUGAUAAACCAUUAUUAAGAAGCGUUGCCAAUGUUAUACAGCAGGCCGGAUGUCCUGUUCCAGAAUACAUAAAAGGUUUCCAAAAACUAUUAAGCAAACAAAAGAAAAAAAUGAUUAAGAAGCCAUUGCAAAGGGAGAGCAUUAGUACAACUCCAAAAUACUUCUUAGAAAAGGCUAAGGAUAAACGCCUCAGCUCAUACCUCUAUGCUGAUAACGCUUCCGUCCAUAUCUUCAGUCCCAGCUUCUCAACCUGAAAAUAAUACAAACUCUGCCACUUGGGAUUGCCUGCAGAUUAAAUUCGUUAAUACACACCUGAGAACUUUGCAUUACUAUACUAUGGAAAAAGGUCACUGGUCAGAACAGCAAGAAGAAAGCAUCCCUUGAAGACAAAAGCUAAAAAAAAUAUUUUUUAAAAAGCCGUAUCAGAAACAUCAUUUUAUGAUCUUAACAUGAAUGUUGUUUACAUGGAAUACUUCAUCUUAAAAUCACCUGUAGUCAACUACAAGAACAUGGGACUGGUGAAAAAUGAUCAUGAACUUUCAGUGCAUCAUGUCAAACUUUUAAAUGAUUAAACGAUGAAAACCACAUUCAUUGACAUUUCUGUGGUUUGGCUCCAGAGAGAUACUUCUUAUAGAAGAACAAAAGCUUACGCUACAAAUAAAAUAACCAUAUGUGGUGAACUCCUAAGGAUUUUUGCCUUCAAGUGUGAAGGAAAGUGUGAUGUAUGUUGUAGAGAGACAUUUGGAACCAAACUUUCAAAGUAAAGCCUUGAAGUUGAAUGUCUCCUCUCUCUCCCCCCACCCCAGUCUGUUUUUGUUUCUGUUUUUGAAUGGACACAGACUAUCUACCAAGAAGAAAGCUACUGCUCUUUAUUUUACUAUUUCUUGAUGGCCUUUUAUGGUGUAAACCACAACAAAAAGAUGCCUCUUCUGUGGCUGGUGUUCAAGUUCUCUAGGAUUUUAAAUUCCUUGGUCUAUUAAAUAUUCAUAUAUUUCAUUGGUAAGGUAGCUCAUACUUUACCUGUUUAAUGUUGUAACUACAAAAUAUGGUCAGCCUAUCCCUUUUUAUUUUAAAUGUAUUUUUUUAAAAGAAUUUAUUGGAGUGACAUUGGUUAAUAAAAUUAUAUAGGUUUCAGGUGUACAAUUCUAUUAUAUAUCAUCUCUAUAUUGUAUUGUGUUCACUACCCCAAGUCAGGUUUCCUUCCAUCACCAUUUAUCACCUCUUUACUCUCUACCUCGCCCUACCCUCUUUCCCUCUGGUAAUCACCAUAUUGUUGUCCAGCUUCUCCCUUUCUUCACUUUUCAUCAUUUAACCAUGUUCUUUCCUGUCUCUUUCCAUUCAAGAUGACUUUGCUCGAAAACUGAUAGUUUUGUCCUGAUAAGGAAGAAUGUUCCUAUUACUUGAUAUACCUGCGGCUGCAUUCUCUUACAUCUUACCUUUCCUGAGACUUCAUGGCCCUUCAUCCAUUUUGUAAGCAGGUCUCAGCCAAAGGUAAAGAAUUACGAUUAUACAGUGAUGGAGAUUAUUCACCAUUAGCAGAUUUUUCUCUGUUGAUAGAUUUGAACAGUGGAAUAAAAAACCAACUUCAGUCCUCUCUGGGUUCUGACCCAGUUUGUGGCCACAUGGCUAAACACACCAAGAAGGUCGGAAUCAUGGGGAACUACGGGACCCAUUAUGGCACCUUCCUCAAGAAAAUGGUGAAGAAAAUUGAAAUCAACCAGCAGGCCAAGUAUACUUGCUCCUGUGACAAAACCAAGAUGAGAUGAACUGAAAUCUGGCACAGAUUCCUGCAUGAAAACAGUAGCUCGUGGUGCGUGUACCUAUAACACCACUUCUACUGUCACAGUAAAGUGCCAUCAGAAAACUGAAGGAAUUGAAAGACGAGCAGAAGCAUUUCCUUGAUUCUUAGCCUUUUACUCGAGUCAGUACAGGUAGGCUCCCAACUGGAAUAUUUUAGAUGGACAAAAAAUUGUUCACCUUCAGAAUUUAUGUAAAUGGAGCUCUAUUACUACAAGGUGCAAACAAUACAAAUGUGAUUUUCUGUGUUCUGACUAACAGGUCGAUUCUGUAUUCUGAAGAUAGGUAUACUGCUGCCACCCAUUUGCCAGCUAUAUGACUGAAUAAGUUCAUUCAUUUAUCAGAGCUUCAGUUUUCUUCAUUUAUGGAAUUGGGGGUAAUACUAAUUAUGUCUCAAGGUUAGAAGUACCUAACACUGUGCCAAAUGCAAAUUCACAACAAAUAUUCCUUAAACAUAUUUGGUUCAGAAUACAGGCUUGAUAACAAUCCCUGUCUUCCAGUGUAGUGGUUAGGGAUAAAGUACAGGAACAAAUAGUGUGGCGUAUGCUGUUAGACAUAAGGAAUCACAGGAGGGUAUCUAACCCAUACUGGAAAUGCCAUGAAGGCUGAUAGCCUGAGAUGAGUCUUGCAGAUAUAAGAAUCUAUAGGCAAAGAAGAAAAAGUAUUCAGGCAGAUACCACAUCUGUGACCCUUGAUAUACUUUCGUUUGACUUCCUCUUCAGUAUUUUGUGUGUAACCACCCAUCCUUAAAUAAAAAUUACAUAAACCUA